rnacentral:rRNA from 1 species
GACGAACGCUGGCGGCGUGCUUAACACAUGCAAGUCGAACGGAAAGGCCCUGCUUGCAGGGUACUCGAGUGGCGAACGGGUGAGUAACACGUGGGUGAUCUGCCCUGCACUUCGGGAUAAGCCUGGGAAACUGGGUCUAAUACCGGAUAGGAGCCAUUUUUAGUGUGAUGGUUGGAAAGUUUUUUCGGUGUAGGAUGAGCUCGCGGCCUAUCAGCUUGUUGGUGGGGUAAUGGCCUACCAAGGCGGCGACGGGUAGCCGGCCUGAGAGGGUGGACGGCCACAUUGGGACUGAGAUACGGCCCAGACGCCUACGGGAGGCAGCAGUGGGGAAUAUUGCACAAUGGGCGCAAGCCUGAUGCAGCGACGCCGCGUGGGGGAUGACGGCCUUCGGGUUGGAAACUCCUUUCGCUAGGGACGAAGCUUUUUGUGACGGUACCUAGAUAAGAAGCACCGGCUAACUACGUG